UACGUAGGGAGCGAGCGUUGUCCGGAUUCAUUGGGCGUAAAGAGCUCGUAGGCGGCUUGGCAAGUCGGGUGUGAAAACUCCAGCUCAACCUGGAGACGCCACCCGAUACUGCCAUGGCUAGAGUCCGGUAGGGGACCACGGAAUUCCUGGUGUAGCGGUGAAAUGCGCAGAUAUCAGGAGGAACACCGGUGGCGAAGGCGGUGGUCUGGGCCGGAACUGACGCUGAGGAGCGAAAGCGUGGGGAGCGAACAGG
rnacentral:rRNA from 1 species